UACGGGGGGGGCAAGCGUUGUUCGGAAUUACUGGGCGUAAAGGGCUCGUAGGUGGCCAACUAAGUCAGACGUGAAAUCCCUGGGCUCAACCCAGGAACUGCGUCCGAUACUGGCAGGCUUGAAUUCGGGAGAGGGAUGCGGAAUUCCAGGUGUAGCGGUGAAAUGCGUAGAUAUCUGGAGGAACACCGGUGGCGAAGGCGGCAUCCUGGACCGAUAUUGACGCUGAGGCGCGAAAGCCAGGGGAGCAAACGGG
rnacentral:rRNA from 1 species